rnacentral:rRNA from 1 species
CUUGCUUCUUGGGUGACGAGCGGCGGACGGGUGAGUAAUGCAUAGGAAUCUGCCCGAUAGUGGGGGAUAACCUGGGGAAACCCAGGCUAAUACCGCAUACGUCCUACGGGAGAAAGGAGGCUCCGGCUCCCGCUAUGGGAUGAGCCUAUGUCGGAUUAGCUAGUUGGUGAGGUAACGGCUCACCAAGGCAACGAUCCGUAGCUGGUCUGAGAGGAUGAUCAGCCACAUCGGGACUGAGACACGGCCCGAACUCCUACGGGAGGCAGCAGUGGGGAAUAUUGGACAAUGGGCGCAAGCCUGAUCCAGCCAUGCCGCGUGUGUGAAGAAGGCCCUCGGGUUGUAAAGCACUUUCAGCGAGGAAGAACGCCUAGCGGUUAAUACCCGCUAGGAAAGACAUCACUCGCAGAAGAAGCACCGGCUAACUCCGUGCCAGCAGCCGCGGUAAUACGGAGGGUGCAAGCGUUAAUCGGAAUUACUGGGCGUAAAGCGCGCGUAGGUGGCUUGAUAAGCCGGUUGUGAAAGCCCCGGGCUCAACCUGGGAACGGCAUCCGGAACUGUCAAGCUAGAGUGCAGGAGAGGAAGGUAGAAUUCCCGGUGUAG